UCUAAAUUUUUUAGUCCCAAUGAUUCAGUGGCUUCGACGCCAACUUUAUUUACUUCUUUCAUUCUCACUCAUAUUUAAUAUAUCCUGCAAAUAAAACUCAGUCACUGACAUCUGGUGUCUUUUUUCAACUUCUAAAUGUGCACUUCACAAUUUGUGGCCACACCCAAAGGAAAACAGAAUACUUCUACAAUGUUUUUAUGUCUCGGUCAACUACAGGCUUUCGGUCGUUGUUAAAAGAGCAUAAUUGGUGUUGCUAGGGAAAAGCAGUGGCAGAACGAGCAGCAUGGGAGGUAUCAAAAGAGAAGAGAGUAUAUUUAGAAGUAAUGAAAACUCAUGCUGAGGGAACAUAUCUAUCGAUCUCGUAGAGUCCACUGGAACCUACAUCGCAGUCUCGAGGUUUCGUGCGCAAAUCUUUUGCCACCUUCUGUUCUCAGCCGAGGUGUUGGUUGGCAGGUUAAUUGGAUGAUGCUCUGCUGCAGCAAGUUUGGAGCAGAAAGGUUGGAGAACAAGGCAGUCCUUAGGUUGAAAAGCAGCUGCAAUUUCCGUCAGUAAGAACUGAACUUAGGUUAAAAGUGUAUUCGAUGAUAGAACAAACUUCAGUUAGAUGAAUUUGUGAACAUAGGAAUUUCUAUGAACUGAACUUAGGAUUCCCGUGUAUUCCCUUUGUUUUUGAUACUUAGAAGAAAAUUUGAGUACUUAGAAGAACAAAAUUUGGU